rnacentral:rRNA from 1 species
UACGUAGGUGGCAAGCGUUUGUCCGGAUUUAUUGGGUUUAAAAGGGUGCGUAGGCGGCCCCUGUAAGUCAGUGCUGAAAUAUCCCCGGCUUAACCGGGAGGGUGGCAUUGAUACUGUGGGGCUAGAGUACAGAUGGAGGUAGGCGGAAUUUGACGGUGUAGCGGUGAAAUGCUUUAGAUAUCGUCAAGAACACCUAUAGCGAAGGCAGCUUACUAGGCUGUAACUGACGCUGAGGCACGAAAAGUGUGGGGGAUCAAACAGG